rnacentral:misc_RNA from 1 species
GAAAAAACGCGUGUAACAUAUCCUUUUUUAUAAAAUUUGCACUUCCUAUAGCUUUAUUUUCCUCUUUCUGAAAAGUCUUUCCUUCUUCUUCAUGAAGCAUCAGGCUACCACAAAGUACUUAAACUUCUAUAUAUCCUCUGCAACCUUAGUCCAUCUUGAAAAUGGAAUUCUCAGCAAAGUUUUCAAACCAUUAAUUCUCCUAAAAAUAGAUUUCAAAUAAAAACCAUAAAAUGAGGACUUCCAACCAAUUUCCUUUUCCAUUCUUACUAAAUUUCCAAACAAAACAAGCGGUCUCUUCACAUUUUUGAACAUCUCAAACAAGUUUAACACUCCAGCUCCUGCAAAGUCAAAAUAGCCAUCUAUGUCUUCCCAAAAUUAAAGCACAUUACACUACCAAUCCUAUGCUGUACAGAAUAUUCAUAUAACUAACUUCCAUAGAAAUUUUUAUUUCACAUAUCCCAUUGUAAACCAUCUAAUUCUCAACCAAAGCAUCAUCCAUGUGUAUAAUUUUAUCUUUUUUUAUAUGGAAAAUUUUGUCAAAUGAUUUCACAUUUAACUCUCAUCUAUCUACUCUGUUCUGUUUACCAUAAAGCUCACAACUUUCAAACAAUUCAACAAGUUUCACAACACUUUGCACACAACAUGAUCCCCCACUUAGUUACACUUUAAAUCCAAGACCAUCAAAACUUUUCGAAAAUUCUCAAACUUUCAACAAACCAUGUAAUUAAGAUAAGAGCAUAACAACACAUACCAGAAAAA